UUUAGAUAUUAUAAUGUCUUUAAUUUCUUAGGCAAUGAGCUUAUCCAUACAAGGCUGAAUGCUACGCUACAGGAGGAGUUCUGAACCACCUCCUGUAAGUGGUUCUGAAGUCAAAAACCUACUUCACUGAACGUGAAGCUGAAGGGAAACCGAAGAACGUAGAUUAGGAUUUCAGCUUAAUGUGGGAAACUAUGGCAAGGAAUAUCCAAUUAUUGUAAGGAAAGGAGUGUGCCACACUUUAAAAAUCCAGAAAGAGGAUGAAACCAAGCUUGCAUAAGCCCGUGUACAACACACAGAUGAUUUGAGAAGGAUGCCUCAGAAUGUAAUGGCAUAACUUGACUAAAGGCAGAGUGCUUGUUCUGUGAUAUCUGGAUUUGAUGAUGGAAGAGUUACAAGAAAGAAGAAUGACUUUCUCCCUCUGUAUCAACAUAACAAUAUUCAGCUAUUCCAUGCUGUCCUGAGGAUUUCCUGGAAAACGUGAGAGAAAUUAAACGCUGAUGUUGUAGACUUUGUGCAGUAGCACAGCUCUGGAGAAUGCUAAGAAGAAAUCCUCUGUGUGUUCUCCUGAAUCAUAAAGGCUGGUGAGAAUGAGAAGCCUAACUCAUCAUUAAUCCACAGGCAAAGUACUAUUCAAGCAGCUGUAGUGAAAGCUCUCGUAUGCUGCCCUGGAAAUAACCCCAGCCUUGACGUGGUAAAAUGACCCUAGGACUCAAAAUGAACUUUUGUAAUAGAAUCAAGGACAUGGAAAUAACAAAAACUGCAGACACAAUCGACUUGCAGUGUUCAGUAAGGUUCUUCUGCUGGGAGAAAAAUUGAGACUUCAUAGAAACCAUGACCCCGAGCCGUUUGAAUCAGGUAAUGUCACAUCUAACUUGCAAUACUGAGUGCUAGCUCCCAUAAAUAUUGUUCCUGCUAUUUAAAUACUGCUGCACUCUUCACUCUACAGAACCUGGCCCCGUGCAAAACCUUUUAGACUUAAUCGUCUCUUUGCUUCAGGGCCUAACCUCAAGUUCAUAAAAUAUUUGUAGCUGUCAGCUACAAAACUGCACAGAUGCAGAAAGCCUAUCUGAUGUAGUGUUAGUAAGAAUAAUUUUAGAGUUGCAAAUAUUUAGCAGAUUUUUAACAGAUACAUAUAUAUACACUUAAAUAUGCGAAUGCAUAUAUAUCAGACAAAGUAUACAUGAGAAUAUCUAUGAUUGCUUUGAUGAUGGCACAUCCAAACUGGGUUGUUAGCAAUGAAAAAUGUCUUUAGCAUACCAAGACAGUACUUGAAAAUUCAGUUUGUGAUACUCAGUCUUGUUUCAUAUUGGAGGUAGCUGAUGAGACAUGUCAUUUUAACACCUUAUUACUGCUUUGUUAUAAUUCUGCCAAGCCUUGGUUCUUUGCUCUCAAAAACUGCAGAACAAAAUAUCUGCCCUGGCCUCCAGAUCUGUCUUUUGUAUUUUUUUUAGCUAACUGGAAAAGUGAAGCUACCUAGGAGCUAACACAGCUUUAUUGGAAGACUGUGGUUAUGAUCACAAAAUGCGUGAGGUUUGGUUCUUGGUAUGUGUUGUGUUGCUGUGUUCUGCACUUGGCUACUUGCUGUGCUAUUCAGCAGUGCCCAUCCAGUGCCUGGAGGACAGGGGGAAAUAAGGAAGAGCCUGGCUUGGAACUUGGGAGUACUGUAUUAAAUGUGAGAAAGAGAGGCCAAGUCAUGAAUUGUGCCUGUAGUUAGCCUGUGUGAAGCACUGCCUAAGUGCAGAAUACUGUUGGUCCUUCGCUGCAGAAAACAAAUUCUGGUAUGUUGUGCUGCAGAUAAACCCUCAAGGAUCAACACUGUUGUUCUCAGGAUUUGAAUAGUGUACAAUAAAUAAGGCCUGAGGUCACAUAAUGAACGUCAUGAAGGGAAAUAAAACAUGGAAUAGCUGACGGCAUGCGUUCUGAGUACUGCGUGAGGAAAGAGUCUGUGAGGAAUGGUGUGUUAUCAAGUGACUGCAGUCAGUGCCUCAGUUCAGAAGCACGGAAAAGAUAGUGUCAGUUGGCAUUUCUUAACUGACAAUUACAACUGACAGUUUUAAUGUAUAAUUAUGUAGUUAGCCUUCAUAGGACCUCAGCUCUUCUGAUUCUGGCCUUUCCAAAAAUCGGCUCAUGUGCAGUGUGCCACUGCCCAGUGUUACAGUAUGCUGGUUGGAACAGGCUGUCAUGUAUGUUGUGUGUGCAGAAAUGAUCUUAGUAAUAACAGGUAUUAGAUUCAGGCAUUUCUGCUUCCGUAGAGUUUUUUUCCUUCAUUAUGAGACAAGCUGGUGGAGUUCAGGGCCAUGAUUUACAUACUCAGGACUUUGCCAUACACUGAGGCUGCAGCUUUCUCAAAUGCUGCUAUGGGGCAACUUGGCUUUAGAAGCACCAAUAUUUUCUUUUUCAUUUUGAAGAGAUGGUUUCUGACAAACAGUUCCACUGAAAGUGUUGAUGCAGUGGCACAGGCUGUGCAGGGGGAGGUGGCGCAGUCACCAUCCCUGGAAGUGUUCAAGAACCAUGGAGAUGUGGCACUGAGGGAUGUGGUCAGUGCGGGUGGUGGAUUGGAUGUGGUCUUCAGGGGUUCCAACCCUAAUGAUUUUGUGAUUCUAUGAGUAUAGACAGGCUUUCAAGCAUUUGUUCUGAAAGCUUCUGGGUAGCAAUGGUCUGCUUGUUUGUGCUAGGUGAAGGCCAACCGCGGCUCAUUUGAGUCGCUCGUGACAGCUUCACAUGAGCACAGAAAGUAGAUUUUAUACAGAAUGUCCAACAGAACAGUGGGAUUUCAGUUUGGACAUUUCUGCAUUAAGCAUGUCCGGUUACAUGGGAUAAUCCUCAUCCUGGGGAAAUUCAGUCAUCUUUUUGAGUUCUGCUGCAGUGCAGGAAUGCGGGAGCACCUUAUCCCCUUGGAUAUUUGUUUACGAAUAAAAAGCAUCCGUAAAGCUUUUCGCUCGCUUCCCCCCUUGGGGAUACCCCCGCUCGUGCCUGUUCGUAGCUUCUCAUCGCUGAGCCUCAACGGCGUCACGUCUGCUAGGCGAACGUAUGGGACAGGAGAGCUCCCGGCGGGAUUUGCGCGGGGAAGGCCGCUGGGAGGGGGUUAGGGUUUCCACCUGG